rnacentral:rRNA from 1 species
AAUCUUGCGCAAUGGGCGAAAGCCUGACGCAGCGACGCCGCGUGGGGGAUGACGGCCUUCGGGUUGUAAACCUCUUUCAGCAGGGACGAAGUUGACGUGUACCUGCAGAAGAAGCGCCGGCUAACUACGUGCCAGCAGCCGCGGUAAUACGUAGGACGCAAGCGUUGUCCGGAAUCAUUGGGCGUAAAGAGCUCGUAGUUGGCCGGUCGCGUCUGCCGUGAAAGCCCGCAGCUUAACUGCGGGUCUGCGGUGGAUACGGGCCGGCUAGAGGUAGGCAGGGGCAAGUGGAAUUCCUGGUGUAGCGGUGAAAUGCGCAGAUAUCAGGAGGAACACCGGUGGCGAAGGCGGCUUGCUGGGCCUUACCUGACGCUGAGGAGCGAAAGCGUGGGGAGCGAACAG